rnacentral:rRNA from 1 species
GAUGAACGCUGACAGAAUGCUUAACACAUGCAAGUCUAUGAGAAGAUCUACUUCGGUAGAAGGUUAUCAUGGCGGACGGGUGAGUAACGCGUAAAGAACUUGCCUCUUAGACUGGGAUAACAGAUGGAAACGUCUGAUAAGACUAGAUAUAAUAAUGACAUGGCAUCAUGUUGUUAUGAAAGGCAACACUAAGAGAGAGCUUUGCGUCCUAUUAGUUAGUUGGUGAGGUAAUGGCUCACCAAGACGAUGAUAGGUAGCCGGCCUGAGAGGGUGAACGGCCACAAGGGGACUGAGAUACGGCCCUUACUCUUACGGGAGGCAGCAGUGGGGAAUAUUGGGACAAUGGAGGAAACGUCUGAUCCAGCAAUUCUGUGUGCACGAUGAAGGUUUUCGGAUCGUAAAGUGCUUUCAGUAGGGAAGAAGAAAGUGACGGUACCUACAGAAGAAGCGACGGCUAAAUACGUGCCAGCAGCCGCGGUAAAACGU